AGCCCCGGCACCUCUUAUUGGUGCCUCUCUAAAUUUGCACUUUAG
rnacentral:tRNA from 1 species